GAGUCCAUGUGAGGCUACAAAGCUAGAAACCUUAUAAUACCAUACCAAGAGAGAGUUCCAGCAGGUCAUGCGCUGGGGGUAGCUAGAAACCCUACAAGGGGUUUCUCUCUAGAUUCACAUGUUGCCUUCUCCUCCUCCUUCAUUGAUAUCCCCAGAUGGGUUAUCAUUCCAAGGAAAAUUAUAAGAAAGAGGCAUACCAGAAGGUUGAUAGAAACCUCCUUCAUUACCCAUUCUUCUAUUAAACUGAUCACCAGGCCUGUGCCGAGGAG
rnacentral:misc_RNA from 1 species